AUCCCGCCUGUGUCCACCCCCUGUGCUCCUCCUGUGUCCAUCCCGCCUGUGUCCACCCCGCCUGUGUCCACCUCCCUUACUCCACCAGUGUCUGGCCUCCAGAAGAAAAGAAAAUCAUGUAGGAAUGCAGACAUUAGUGAAUGCCCCAUUCAUCAAGGUCUAAGCGUUUUCCCCUACAAAAGGAUUCUGAGGCAAAGACUCAGAGAGGGUUGUGUCGAGGUGUUGGUGGAGUGGCAACCUUGCUCUGGAUGUGGAGCAAAGUGGAAAAACUCCUGGGAGCCCAAAGACAAUGUUCUUCCUUAAAAAAAAUUGUU